UACGUAGGGUGCAAGCGUUGUCCGGAAUUAUUGGGCGUAAAGAGCUCGUAGGCGGCUUGUCGCGUCGGCUGUGAAAACCUGGGGCUCAACCCCGGGCCUGCAGCCGAUACGGGCAAGCUAGAAUUCGGUAGGGGAGACUGGAAUUCCUGGUGUAGCGGUGAAAUGCGCAGAUAUCAGGAAGAACACCCGUGGCGAAGGCGGCUCUCUGGUACGUGACUGACGCUGAGACGCGAAAGCGUGGGGAGCGAACAGG
rnacentral:rRNA from 1 species